GCGGAUGGCCGGAUGACCGCCGGUAUCGGGAGGGCGACUUCCCGUGCGGGAGGAAAGUCCGGACUCCACAAGGCAACGGUGCCGGGUAACGCCCGGCCGGGGAAACCCGAGGGAAAGCGCCACAGAGAACAAACCGCCCGGGCAAAUCGCGCAAGCGACGGACCCCGGGUGAGGCUGAAACGGUGGGGUAAGAGCCCACCGCGGGCCCGGCAACGGGACCGGCACGGCAAGCCCCACCGGGAGCAAUGCCGAAUAGGGACCUCGCGCCCCGUCGUGGGCAGGGCCGCCUUGGCCCGGAGGUCCGGGUUGGCAGCUGAAGGCCCGUGGCGACACGGGUCUUAGAGGAAUGGUCAUCGAACCGGGGGCGACCCCGGGGCACAGAAUCCGGCUUACAGGCCGUCCGCGCAA
rnacentral:RNase_P_RNA from 1 species